UCCUUUCCAGGAGAGUCUCCUAUUGCACAGUUGAAACCUUUACAUACUCCAUCUCUCUAAACCUAGAGACUUCUCUCUGCUUCACUAGUAGUUAAAAGCUCUGAAUGGAGAAAGUUAGUCAGGGUCUUGGCAUGGGUAGAAAACAUUUAGGAACAUGGAAUAUAGGAGAUCUUCUAGAUAAUACUUAUAUCCCCAGGUUCAUACCUGUGACUCAGUUCAACAUUCUAAGUAUUCUGUUUCCCAAAGGCCAGUAUUUUCCCUACAGACGUUUAAUUGAAUUAAUAUUGUAUUUCAAUUUCUUAUUGAAAAUUCGUUGAUAGGGGACUUUGAAAAUAUUCCUCAAUGUGUACUCAAAAAUUCUGUUUUCCAAUUCCAUUUUCUGCAAAGGUUUUGGCAACAAAGGAGGCCCAACUAUAGAGUAAGCAUAACACUGUAAAUACUGUAUACCUAAUUCAAAUUAUAAAUUCCCAAAUCCUUAUUUUAACAAAAAAUUACCAGAUAUCAGAAAAGCAAAGCACAACAUGGACUAUUGAAUUCGGUUCUCUAGUCCCAUUUGAUAUCAGUUCUGCAAUAUCUACCUUCCUGAGUUUCAUUCCCAUACUUGAGGGUUUUGAGUAUUUUACCAUGAUUAGUUAUUAAGGCCAAACAUAAGAUAUAGGAGGCUGGGCAUCUAGAGGAAUGACUUGAGGACCAGUGACGCCUCAAUUUCAGAAGUUUCAAAAAACAGGAUGGAGUCUAUUUGGUGUUGCCAUUUGUGGAUUCUACAGUCUUGACCUAGAUAUGCAGAACCCAUGUCAAAAUUCCAGCUAAACUCAGAGCUGUAGGAGCCACCAAAAGUACAUACAUAUACAUCAGCCACCAAAACUAGACAAGAUUGAUGAAGGUAAGUGCAUUCUUCCAGGAAUCAGAUAUAGAUAUUUCCUGAGAGACACAACUAGAUUAUGCCAAAUACAGAAGUGAAUGCUAGUGGCAAACCAGUGAACUGAAAAUGGACUUCUUGUUUGUAGAUUUUCAGGAAAGAUUACAAGAGCUGAAGGGGCUUUAACACCAUAAGAACGACAAUGCUAAUGAACCAGAGCUUUCUGAUACUAGACCUAUGUUCAAGAAUGUACAUGGACAGAGUUAUGGCUCCAACUGCAUAUGUGGAAGAGGAUGGACUUGGACCUUUUUCUUCUGGGCAAAAAAAAAAUAAAAGCCAUCAGCUCUAAGGAAAAGAACAGUGCCCUUCGCAACGCCUGGUUUUUGGGAUAAAGAUAUUAAUGAUAUAAACUCUCUAACAGGAACCACUUGAAGCAGGGAAGUCCAGAAGCUUCUGACACGCUCCGAGCUCCGAGCUCCUGAUCCCAUGUGUGGAAGGCUCAGAUCAAUUCUAUCUCUUCAAGACAGGAGGGUAGCAUUAUUGUCCUCUGCAAGACUCAACAGAGCAGCCGACUGACACACGUGCACAGACAUACGGCCAAAUAUUGAAUGGAGCUCAGUGAGUCUCACUGAAGGGCUGAGGGAAGUGUAGACAGAGACAGAGGAGCACAAUGAUCUUCAGGUGGGGUCACUAAACCAGUCACUUGUCUGUGGAUCCUGUUCUCCUACCCGGGCUGCGUUUUCAGGACCUGGUGGGAGACGAUGAAUGUAGUUGAGUAGAGACUUGAUGUGCCAGGGGAGAGGGUGAACCCAGAGGGGUCCUCCACUCUCUCAGAUAA